rnacentral:rRNA from 1 species
AACGAACGCUGGCGGCAGGCUUAACACAUGCAAGUCGAGCGCCCCGCAAGGGGAGCGGCAGACGGGUGAGUAACGCGUGGGAAUCUACCCAUCUCUACGGAAUAACGCAUGGAAACGUGUGCUAAUACCGUAUACGUCCUUCGGGAGAAAGAUUUAUCGGAGAUGGAUGAGCCCGCGUUGGAUUAGCUAGUUGGUGGGGUAAAGGCCUACCAAGGCGACGAUCCAUAGCUGGCCUGAGAGGAUGAUCAGCCACACUGGGACUGAGACACGGCCCAGACUCCUACGGGAGGCAGCAGUGGGGAAUAUUGGACAAUGGGCGCAAGCCUGAUCCAGCCAUGCCGCGUGAGUGAUGAAGGCCCUAGGGUUGUAAUGCUCUUUCACCGGUGAAGAUAAUGACGGUAACCGGAGAAGAAGCCCCGGCUAACUUCGUGCCAGCCGCCGCGGUAACAC